GACGAACGCUGGCGGCGUGCUUAACACAUGCAAGUGGAGCGACGAACCCUUCGGGGGGCAAAGCCGCGAACAGGUGAGUAACACGUGGGUAACCUGCCCCGAUGACUGGGACAACCCGGGGAAACCCGGGCUAAUACCGGAUGAUGUGCACACACUUAAGUGUGCUCACUAAAGGUAGCUUCGGCUUCCGCAUUGGGAGGGGCCCGCGGCCCAUUAGCUUGUUGGUGAGGUAACGUCUCACCAAGGCAACGAUGGGUAGCUGGUCUGAGAGGACGAUCAGCCACACUGGGACUGAGACACGGCCCAGACUCCUACGGGAGGCAGCAGUGGGGAAUCUUGCGCAAUGCGCGAAAGCGUGACGCAGCAACGCCGCGUGAGGGAAGACGGCCUUCGGGUUGUAAACCUCUUUCAGUAGGGACGAAGGCCGGCCGGUGAAUAGCCGUGUCGGUUGACGGUACCUUCAGAAGAAGCUCCGGCUAACUACGUGCCAGCCGCCGCGGUAA
rnacentral:rRNA from 1 species